AUGUCGCUUGGCUAUCUAUUUGAAAAAAUCCUAGUUUUUGCCCCAAAAGACACAUAUAAUAUAUAUGUUGUCUUCUGUAGGAAGGAAAAAAAAGGAAAACAACAAAAAAAUGUCUAUUUUCUUUACAGCAAAGGAAAAAAGAAAACCAUAAAACAAAGUCUGUUCACUUUGUGGCUUGCGUGGUGUUUUGCUUACUUGUUUAUUCAUGAAAAGAAAAGCACAAAAAAAGGUCUUGGAGUCUUGCAACCAUUUGCUUUGUGUGUAUGUGCAUGUGUGUCUUGUUCUUUGGUUUUGGGGGGUUCGAUGUUUAUAGAGGGGGGCGGGGGUGUAACUCCGCCUAUGUUAACAUGA
rnacentral:rRNA from 1 species